rnacentral:rRNA from 1 species
UACGUAGGGUCCAAGCGUUAUCCGGAAUCACUGGGCGUAAAGCGUGCGUAGGUGGCGCGUUAAGUGAGAUGUUAAAUCGUGUGGACUCAACCAUAUCGAUGCAUCUCAUACUGGCGUGCUAGAGGACGGCAGAGGCAAGUGGAAUUAGCAGUGUAGCAGUGAAAAUGCGUAGAUAUUGCUAGGAACACCAAUGGCGAAGGCAGCUUGCUGGGCCACUCCUGACACUGGAGGUACGAAAGCGUGGGGAGCGAACAGG